rnacentral:misc_RNA from 1 species
UAUAACGUGACCGUGACC